UGCCGGCACGGCCGAGGGGUGGCCGGGCGCGGCGGGGCGGCCCGGGCCGGAAGCGCCCCUCGUGGAGCCCGUACGGCGGGCGGAGGGCGGAGCCGAGACACGGGCCGAGCCCGGUGGGCGGCACCACCUGCCGCGUCAGGCGCGGGGCUGGGCCGUCCUGCGGCCUUGCUCGCCGCCCGGCAUGCCAGCCGCCGUGCCCGGCAAGCCCUUGCCGCCGCUCCCCAGGCUGCCUCCCCUCUGCCUCUGUCCCGGAACAACGGGGAGGACACCCUCCGAGGAAAGGGCUCAACACAAGGAGACGUUCGGGUCCCCUCGGGGAGAGAAAUCGUGACCGCCGGAGGUGGCCCUGACUUCCCUGAAGCAGCCUGCAAACCUCUCCUGAGCCGGAGGAGGGUACCGGCUGGACUAAAUCAAGCCCACGGGAAAGACAGCAGUGAGAGGCCCUGCUGCCGCCAUGACUCCUGAUUCGAUGGAAAGAGGCCGCGGGUCUUUGAAAAGAGGAGCAUCUCUAAACUCCAAGUCAGCAACAACACAAAGCCUGUCCCAGUCUGCUUAUUACUGGGGCAGACUCAGAGAGAAGGAAAAAAAGGA